UACGUAGGUGGCAAGCGUUGUCCGGAAUUAUUGGGCGUAAAGCGCGCGCAGGCGGCCUCUUAAGUCUGAUGUGAAAGCCCCCGGCUCAACCGGGGGAGGGCCAUUGGAAACUGGGAGGCUUGAGUAUAGGAGAGAAGAGUGGAAUUCCACGUGGUAGCGGUGAAAUGCGUAGAGAUGUGGAGGAACACCAGUGGCGAAGGCGACUCGUUUGGCCUAUAACUGACGCUGAGGCGCGAAAGCGUGGGGAGCAAACAGG
rnacentral:rRNA from 1 species